CGAGGUCCCCUCUUCCUCCUCACACAAACCGACCUCCUCAAGCUCUCUCUCUCUUUCUCUCCCAUGUCCGACCAUUAGUACCACCGGCCGAUCUCCCUCACCGGAGGUUCGCAAGACAAACCCUCGCGCCGCCAACUCCGCCUCGUCGAGGUGAUUCCAUUUUUCCCCUUUCCCCUCUCCCUCCACCUUGAGUUAAACCGCCACCACCACCUUCUCUUAUCGGCCGGUCUGAGCUCUUGCUACGGCCGUUCCGGCCAUCUCCCUCUCUCCCUCCGCCUUCCACCACUUUCCCCGGGUGCGCGUUGCUCGGGAACACCAUCUCCCACCGGCGUUUCUACCUCCCGGCCACCGGAGAGCCGGCACCUCGCUUGCCCUCCCCUUUGUUUCCUCUCGGCUGCCAGACAGAAGAAAAGAAGAAGAGGUAGAAGAAACAUAUGACAAGCGGGCCCCACCUUUUAUAAAACAGUACAACAAAUUCUAGCGGCAUCCAAGGAGUUGACAUGGACCCAGAUGGCUACGCUGAAGCAGCGGAAAAUCUUAAGGCACAAG